AACGAACGCUGGCGGCGCGCCUAAUACAUGCAAGUCGAGCGAGAAGACGUAGCAAUACGUUUGUAAAGCGGCGAACGGGUGAGGAAUACAUGGGUAACCUACCCUCGAGUGGGGAAUAACUAGCCGAAAGGUUAGCUAAUACCGCGUACGCUCCUUGGACUUCGGUUCAGGGAGGAAAGCGAUACCGUGGGUAUCGCGCUCUUGGAUGGGCUCAUGUCCUAUCAGCUUGUUGGGAGGUAACGGCUCACCAAGGCUUCGACGGGUAGCUGGUCUGAGAGGACAAUCAGCCACACUGGCACUGCGACACGGGCCAGACUCCUACGGGAGGCAGCAGUAAGGAAUAUUGCGCAAUGGGCGAAAGCCUGACGCAGCGACGCCGCGUGGGGGAGUGAAGGGUC
rnacentral:rRNA from 1 species